rnacentral:lncRNA from 1 species
GUUCAUUCUUGUGACACUUCACACAAGACCCCAGGAGCUGUGUGGCCUCCUUCCUGAAAGACCUGGAAAUGGGAUAAGGGUGGGGACAGUUUCAGAGGUGAAACCUACAGGAUCUGUCCCAUCCUCCCAGCCCAGGAAAUAGCUGCAGGGCCCCCUAUGGGGCCAUCCAUCUGUGUGCAGCAGGACAGGAAGGCGGCUGGCUGCUGAUGGUGUCUGGGGCGCAUGACAAACAGCCCAGUCUAGACAGAUGGAGAGCGAGGGGCUUCUGCCCCGGCACCCACUGCUGAGCCCAAAGACAACCAGGUCGAAUUCUGUACCUGGAGAAGCUACAGCCACAUGGAAGGACAAGGUUGCCCUGGGCUGGUCUGGGUCCAGGCAGCCGCAAAAGCUGGACUACAGCCCAGAUGGAGCUUCGCUCCGGUCCUGCCCGCUCUUCUCGGGCUGAGUGACCUCCAGCGUGUCACCUGACUGCUCUGAGCCCAGGUCUGUGAGAGACAUCAGGGCAAGGUCUCCUUGCCCGGAUGGCAGGGAUCCAGGUCUCCACAGAGGGCGGCCCGCCCAAACCUUCAAGGCCAAAUGAAUCACCUGGCCCACCUCUGCAGACCUCCAGUGUCUGUGUCUCCCUAGAAGAUGAGCUCCAUGAGGGCACAGAGCCAGCAGCUGACUUGCUGCUGUCUCCCUGGGACUGGCAGGUAAAGCGGCUUGAUGAGUUGUUGUCAAAUGGAUGGACAAGUGGAUGGAUGGCUAAGUGGAU